AUUAUAUGUGGUCUACAGGAGCUAGCACUGCAAUCAUAUAUGUUAAUCCCAUAGCCACUACCACGUAUGUGGUUACAGCAGCCUCGUCCUGCGGGCCGGGAACAGCCUCUGUUGUUGUAACCGUAAAUUCAUCUAUCACCCCGAACAUUUCAGGAAAUACUACUAUCUGUACCGGAGGGAACACAACGCUUACA
rnacentral:misc_RNA from 1 species